GACAGAGGGGACAAGCGUUGCUCGGAAUCACUGGGCGUAAAGGGCGCGUAGGCGGGAUGGCAAGUCAGUCGUGAAAUCUCUCGGCUCAACCGAGAAACGUCGGCUGAUACUGCCGUUCUUGAGGGAUGCAGAGGAGACUGGAAUUCCCGGUGUAGCGGUGAAAUGUGUAGAGAUCGGGAGGAACACCGGUGGCGAAGGCGGGUCUCUGGGCAUUUCCUGACGCUGAGGCGCGAAAGCGUGGGGAGCAAACGGG
rnacentral:rRNA from 1 species